UGGCUAUGAUGACAAAAAAGGCCGGACUUACAGCUGCUUCCUAUUUUGUGGUAGUAGAUUGAUGAGAUUAUCCAAAGGUACCUCUGAGCCAU